AUGAGAUAUUUUAUAUUAUUACAAUAAUGUUUGAGAUAUGCGUUGAUUAAAUUUAUUGACUAUGUGAGACAUGUUUUAUUAAUAUUAGGGUAAUAUUGUGUGUUGUUAUUUAGACCUUUGUCCCACAUUGAUUAGAAAUAAGAGGGGAACCCCUUCUUGCACUAUAUAAUGUAUGGAGGGUAUUGGGGCUAGAUUGUGUAAUUGGGACUUGGCUCACUUCCCACAUUGGGGAGAAUGUGAGCAAAGAUGGAUCAUUAAUCUAUAAAUGAAAGCACAAGCUUUUGUUAUGUACUCCCAAGUGCUAGUUUAAAUUUAAUGUAUUGGUAUUUUGUCCCACAUCGAGACAAAUUGAUAGAGGUGCUAGCCACAUAUCUAUAUAAGUAUAUGGAGGUGUUGAAUUCUUUAACAUAAUGGACUUGAUAAGUAAGUUUCCAAGUUUGAGACUUUUCUUCUCUACUUCCCACAUCGAGAAGAAGAAGGAAUGGGCGACUCUCAACCCAUUAUAAAAUAAGUUGAAGUUUAUAUGGACUUAAAGCCUUUGCUCUAUUAGUCCAUGUUCUUUAAUCAAACUGAAUUUUUACUAAGCUUGGUUAAAAGAGAAUAGCUCUAAUUAGUCCUCUCUUACCUAGCAUAAUAAACAACUUAAGUGUUGUGUAUAGUGGGUUGAAAGUUUUUGAGUUAGUAUCCCACAUCGAGACCAAAUAAGAUGAAUGGAACUGUAACUCCUAUAUAUAUGCUAAGAAAAUGUUUAAAGGAACUAAGUUUUCCUCCCACAUCGGAAAGGUGUAGGAGAUCUAGGCUCAAGGAGCCUACUUAAACUUGAAAGGUUCCCAAGUGUUGUACACAAGAGCAAUGGCUUUUAGGCUUGGGUUUCAACGCCCAUGAUUAUUAAUAAUGCUUUAUAAUAAUAAAUCUAUUUCCUGAGAUCCAACAGGUGAUAAAAAGAAUAUGAACUUGAGUGAUUAAAGAGUAUGAACUUGUGUCUAUAAAUUGAACUAUGGGAAGGCUAGCAAGUGAAUUAGAAAGCACACUUUUGCAAUGUAGUUUUCAAGUUGUAUUAUAGCCCCACAUCGAUUUGUUUAUAAAUAAUAGGCUGCUAUAUAUCUAAUACUUCUAACCUUAUAAUGGAUAGUCGGUUGCGCAAAUGAGUUGGCGGGGGCAUUGUCAAACUAAGGCAACAACACUUUGUUAGGGUAUUUGCCAUGAGUGCACUUGUUGCUUGUGGUUUAUUUCACUUAAAUCAAAUGUCCCACAUCGAAUAAAUAGAGGAAUAGGGGUUUACUCUCAUCUAUAUAAAGUGAGGGAAGUCCUCCUUUAAUGUAGGAGUAGGAGUAAAAGCUAAGUUCAGCUUUGAGGUGACUGUGACCUUGAUUGAAAGCAUCUUAUCGUUUAAGUUGGACCCGAGGCAAGGGUAAAGAUAAAAAUAAGUAGAAGGGGGACCGAGCUGAAGCAGAAUCUUGCCUGGAUGAUGUACAUAUGGCUACUUUGACCUGGGGAUGGCCUAGUUAUAUGUUUUGUUAUAUGUCACCUAGUAAUGACACGAGUAUGGUUUGUAUUAAAGAAUGAAAGUAGACUUUAUAUGUGUGUAAUAUGGUUUUGUUGGGAAAAAAAAAAUGCUAUUGCUUUUAU